ensembl:lncRNA
CAGGUACAAAUAUAUUUAUUUUUUAACCAAAUAAAGGAAACAUAUCUUAACAUUUUGAAUAACCUCUUAUGGGAAGGGAACGCCUCCUAUAUACCGAAAUAUUAUAAAAUAUAUUCUUAUCGUGCCGCCUGCUGGGUCCUACUGCCCCCUAGUGGUGACACCCGGCAUCGCCUCAAAACCCUGAGUGCGCUUUAGGUCUUGCAGACUUUCGGUGGCAGAUGCUGAGAUCUGGAGAAACGGCUUAGCUCAGCACAUCCGAAGAGUACCAACACAUACCUUCCCAUUGCGCUGAUUGGUCCGGACACUUUGUGGGUUUGAUAGUUAUGUUCAACGGAAGCGAGUCACCGCUGAUCUGCAGCGAGAGGCUGAAACGAUCAUGGUUUGGGGUCAAUGGUUCCUACGGGGCUUGGAUAUCUCGUCGCCUCCAGCUGGGAGGCGUGAUGUGAACACUGGGAUGUUUAAGAGCCAGUGAACUCCAAACCACUUUUCUUUUGUUUUAAACGUGGUCAUUUGUCUUAUAUGAUGAUUCGUAAACAUAUGCCUUAUAUCACCGUUACUGAAACAAGUCACCAAUUGAAUGAAAGAAUUGGUAGAACCCGAUGUUUUUGGCAUCCUCCCCAAACCACUGAACGUUCACCUCUGCUGAACGCAAGUGGCGUUCUGUUCGUGACGUCAGCCUGUCUUUUCAGAAGUAGUCUGACGUCACGAAGGGGCACAUCUGGGGACGUUCUGUGUGGACACUUGGAGCUCUGUCUGGGUUAGGCUUCCCGGACACCUAUAGUAUAAUAUUGGUCAUUAUGGGAAGACUGUCGCGGACUGUGGGGUGCGACAUAUUUUUUAUUUACUAUAUUUUUUAUUUACUCUUAUCUUUUUCAGUACUUAUUAUUCAAUACUUGCUUAUUGUUUAUUGUUUACUGUUUAUUGUUUGUUAAGAUCGUGCGCAACGGAUACGAAUACCAAGACAAAUUCCUCAUAUGUGUAAAUGUAUCUGGCAAUAAACCGAUUCUGAUUCUGAUUCUGAUUAAUCAUUGCAUUAUCUCCAUUUUUACCAUGGUCUGGAUGAAUACCCGAUUCUGAUUGGCUGGAGGGUGUAGGUUAAAAAGUGUUACUUUACACCUAGGAAAGACGUUGACCCUAUGAGACGCUAUGGCCAUGUUGCUUGGCAACGCCUGCAUACGGGAGAUAUUAAAUAGUCCGCUCGACUUGUAAAAAUAAUGUAGGCUUUUUGUAGAUAGGUAGGCUAUUGGAUAUCAUGUGAAUGGUAAUGCAAACGAUCUUUUCAGUUUUAUCACCCAGUGCAGGCUGUAAUUAUUUUAGCUACAGUAGCGCUAGCUGCUAGGCUAGGCUUGUUAUCAGGUUGUUGGGAAAGUUUCUUGGUAAAAAACUGGGUGACGAACUGUCGACCGGUUGGAGCUCUUUCCUCUAUCUCUUUCUCUCUUUCCUCCCCUGACAACCUGACUUCUUGAUUUCACCGACCGGGAUACACACAAACUGACUUUAGACUGCUAGUUUAAGACACUAGCAGUCUGCACUUGCUUCACCACGAUAUGCCUGGCUGCUACUUUGCUCUGCAGAAGCGUGAGACUUGGGCUGUACCCAAUAAUGACAAACGAGAGGGGGGAUAAUAGGAAGACUUUCUAAUGAUUUUGUAAAAAUGGAGAAACAAACCACAACAAAACAACGAAACAAACCACCUUAAUUUGAUGAUUUAAUCCGAAAUCCGUUCUCUGGGGCGCCCCGUCAGUGCUGCGCCCUUGGAAUCAUCCUAAUUAACCCCCCCUAAGGACGUCCCUGGAUGCGCCCGUAGCAUUCGCCUAUACUGCCUUUGCCCAGAGCCGGGCCUGUGCACAGGUCCUGUUGCGGCCUUCAGCUGCAGCCUCUCCUCAGAGCCGCUUCGCUCUCGACGAGCUUCGCUUUCAUCUGGGCGAUCUUCUCGUCCAGUGCCAGCGCUUCGAAGUCACAGUCUCUGUAAUUCUUCUGAGCUGAUCCGAGUCUGCCCUCAUGUGGCGGGACAAAGACACUAGGGUGGUCCUGGUCCCCAAACUGGGGGCUGCUGGUUGCUUCUGGGUGGUCUGUGUUGGGAGCGCUGGCGGUCUCAGAGGGGGUGUCCUCAGACUCUUCUUCUGGGUCUUGAUGAGGAGAAUGAGGGUCUCCUGGGACUGGGUAAGAAGCAGCAGAGUCUUCUGGGACUGGGUGAGAAGCAGCAGGGUCUUCUGGGACUGGUUUAGAAGUAGCAGUGUCUUCUGGGACUUGUAGUCCUCCAGAGUUUCUCAGCGUGCGUUCGGUCUGGUGAGAAGCAGCAGGGUCUUCUGGGACUGGUUUAGAAGUAGCAGUGUCUUCUGGGACUUGUAGUCCUCCAGAGUUUCUCAGCGUGCGUUCGGUCUGGUGAGGUUCUCCGAUGGAC